rnacentral:miRNA from 1 species
UACUCCAGAGGGCGUCACUCACG